rnacentral:rRNA from 1 species
AACGAACGCUGGCGGCGUGCCUAACACAUGCAAGUCGAACGAGAAAGGGGCUUCGGCCCUGAGUAAAGUGGCGCACGGGUGAGUAACACGUAGGUAACCUGCCUCUAAGAUCGGGAUAACCUGUCGAAAGACGAGCUAAUACUGGAUAAGACCACAGCUUCUGAGGGAGCCGAGGUCAAAGGUAGCCUCUGCUUGCAAGCUAUCGCUUAGAGAUGGGCCUGCGUACCAUUAGCUAGUUGGUAGGGUAACGGCCUACCAAGGCAAAGAUGGUUAGCUGGUCUGAGAGGAUGAUCAGCCACACUGGAACUGAGACACGGUCCAGACUCCUACGGGAGCAGCAGU